UACAGAGGUGCCAAGCGUUAGGCGGAAUCACUGGGCUUAAAGCGCGUGUAGGCGGGUCGUUAAGUGUCCGAGUGAAAUCCCACGGCUCAACCGUGGAACUGCCGGGCAUACUGGCGAUCUUGAGGCAUUCAGGGGCGAGCGGAACAAAUGAUGGAGCGGUGAAAUGCGUAGAUAUCAUUUGGAACGCCAAUGGUGAAAACAGCUCGCUGGGAAUGAUCUGACGCUGAGACGCGAAAGCCAGGGGAGCGAACGGG
rnacentral:rRNA from 1 species